rnacentral:rRNA from 1 species
UACGGGGGGAGCAAGCGUUGUUCGGAUUUACUGGGCGUAAAGGGCGCGUAGGCGGCCACCGCAAGUCGGUUGUGAAAUCUCUGGGCUUAACCCAGAAAGGUCAACCGAUACUGCGGGGCUAGAGUGCAGAAGGGGCAACUGGAAUUCUCGGUGUAGCGGUGAAAUGCGUAGAUAUCGAGAGGAACACCUGCGGCGAAGGCGGGUUGCUGGGCUGAUACUGACGCUGAGACACGAAAGCCAGGGGAGCAAACGGG